GACGAACGCUGGCGGCGUGCUUAACACAUGCAAGUCGUACGGUAAGGCCCUUUCGGGGGUACACGAGUGGCGAACGGGUGAGUAACACGUGAGUAACCUGCCCACAACUUUGGGAUAACGCUAGGAAACUGGUGCUAAUACUGGAUAUGUGCUCCUGCUGCAUGGUGGGGGUUGGAAAGCUCCGGCGGUUGUGGAUGGACUCGCGGCCUAACAGCUUGUUGGUGGGGUAGUGGCCUACCAAGGCGGCGACGGGUAGCCGGCCGGAGAGGGUGACCGGCCACAUUGGGACUGGGAAACGGCCCAGACUCCUGCGGGCGGCAGCAGUGGGGAGUAUUGCACAAUGGGCGCAAGCCUGAUGCAGCAACGCCGCGUGCGGGAUGACGGCCUUCGGGUUGUAAACCGCUUUCAGCAGGGACGAAGCUUUUUGUGACGGUACCUGCAGAAGAAGCACCGGCUAACUACGUG
rnacentral:rRNA from 1 species